CCUUGAGAGAGAAAAGUGCUAUGAGCUUUUGCCUCGGUCUCUUGCAUUUAACAACCUACCCAACCGCCUUUCAUCAAUCUCAUUCAGUUCAUUCACACCCACCUCCAGGUUCCUUUUAUUUCUGAUUUAGUUCUCAUUCAAUUCAGCCACACCCACCUCCAACUUGCUCUAAGUCUGGUCUAUAUCUUAUUUGUCGUUUCUUUUUGACAAGCUAAGCUAGGUUUCUAGUCUCUAGGAGAGCUUCUGGUUGUCAAAAUUGUUAAUGCUUGAGACUUUAUCAAGAUGGCACUCCUAAUCCUUGAGUAGUCUGUAUCUUUCAUUAAUGUAGAACGGUUGAUGCAGUACUUCUGGGUAUGAUUACUACAAUUCUCUGAUUUGCACUCAUAAUCCCUAACCCUAACGCUAAUCUAAUGCUUGAUCAUCCUUUCCUUUAGCUUGUUUGAUUGGUAUUGGUCCAUAAGUGAGGUGAAUUUUGGUUUGUUUGGUUUACUGCGGUGAUAUUUUUUUGGCUAAAUUACUGAUUUACGACUUGAGUCUGGUCUCCUGUCUAACCAUCUCUGGGACUGUAAGGUAAAAUUCUCUAAUUUACACUCAUAUUCCCUAACACUAACCCUAAUCUAGUGCUUGAUCGUCGUUUCCUUUAGCUUGUUUGAUUGGUAUUGGUCCAUAAGUGAGGUGAAUUUUGGUUUGUUUGGUUUACUGCGGUGAGAUUUUUUUUGGCUAAAUUACAGAUUUACGACUUGGGUCUCCAGAAAUUGUAAUCUAUGAAAUGGCUUAGCUUCUGUAACCUGUUUAUCAUAUUUGAUUGAUUUUCCAUCGAGUUCUUGUGAAAAUUUGUGAACUGGGAUGUAGACUAUAUAGAUAUACAGUUACUCAUUUUCAAAUUACACUAUAACUGAGUGAAGGUUAAAGUUUUUGCAAGUAUAUAUGUCUCUGUGUGAAUAGAUACCGAUCUCUCUCUUACUCAAUUUCAAAUCGCAUUAUAUGUAUCAAUUGUACAUUUCUGCUUGAAUCUUGAUCGUAGUACUACUCCACUCUUUUUUGGCUUUCAAUUCUCUUCCAAGUUCUCUAAUGUCGUUACCGGCAAUCCUCUUGAUGCAAUCCGUAAUUAGUUUGUAUCGAGCUGAAGUUUAUUGCCAUGGCGAGCCUUAACUUUGAGAAAGAUGUUUCAGGGGUACCGAAAUCAAUUUCAGAUUCACCGCCAACUCAGUACACCGUACAAAUAAAGUUGUCUUCAUUGGUGAGUGAAAGGUUUAGAGGAUGGAUAAGAAUUUGAAGCUGAUGGUAAUAUUCUCAUAUGCCAACUCCCACACACACACACACGUGUUCUUUCUCCAUCUUCAUUGCUUUUCAGACACCAAGUAAUAGUGAAUCAUUGUAAGUUUGUAACUUCAUAUUUUUAUAUCUACAGGCUUUAACUUUUCCCUUAUAUCCAUUUUUGGUCACAGGAAACUUGUGUUCUACCCUAAUGGAAACAAGAAGAAGAAAGUACAAAACCACAUCUCACUCUACUUAGUAAUGGCUGAAGCAGAUUCAUUACAUAGUGGUUGGGAAGUAUAUGUUAAUUUUAGAUUGUUUCUGCUCGAUCAGAAUAAGGGAGUCUGCUUAGUCUUUAAGGUUGUGUUUGUUUCGUGUGACUGGACGGGAUUGGACUAGUUUAUGUAAUAAAAUUAGACUUAUCCCACGUUUGGCACACAUAAGGACUCAUUUAAAUGAGAUAAGAGAGUCCCUGCAUCAGCUCCCAACCUUCUUACAUAGACCCCCCAAAACUCACCGGACUGUGGAAGCAAGGGCUUAAACAACGCUCAAUCGUCUCUCCACUCUCUUUCCCGCUUCAGCCUCCUUGAACUACUCUUGUCCAGGAAAUAUGCGGAGUUGUCGAUUUCGAAAGAAAAUGGGCGAAAUGAGAGCAAUUUGUGAUUCUCGACAAAAUGACGAAAUUAGAAUGACUUAAUUAACCAAUUAGCAUGGAUUGAUUAAUCAGUUGAGCAUUUGGUUAAUUAGCCACUUACUUAAACAUGCAUGCACGUUUAUAACCAUUAAUUGCUCUGACCAAAUAUAAGCUUGGCAUGUGGCAAUUUUUCAUUCUAUUCACUUACCAUCAGAACAAUCUAUCACGUGCUCUCCUUUCAAUUAACCAAAGCUAUCAAUCAUACCCUCCAAUCCAACCACGUGUCCCAUUAUCCCAUUCACCUUUUCCUCAUCCACACGAAAUAGCCACCCAUUUAUCUCUUUCUCUCACAGAGUACCGAUAUAUAUAUAUAUAUUCUCUUUUCACAACACCAACAGGGGGAGAACUCGAGAAGCAACAGUAGCUGAAACCACCAAAACAGAGGCAGCCCCUUUGGGCUGCUCUCUCUCCUACUUCUCCUCCAUUUUUCCUCUUUUCUUUCUAUUUUAUUUUGAGAUUUGAAGGACCUACUCAUACAAAGCUUCAAGGAUCUAUCAAG